rnacentral:rRNA from 1 species
CGCGCAAAUUACCCAAUCCUGACACAGGGAGGUAGUGACAAGAAAUAACAAUACAGGGCCUUUCGGCUUUGUAAUUGGAAUGAGUUGAGUCUAAACCCCUUUGCGAGUAUCAAUUGGAGGGCAAGUCUGGUGCCAGCAGCCGCGGUAAUUCCAGCUCCAAUAGCGUAUAUUAAAGUUGUUGCAGUUAAAAAGCUCGUAGUUGGAUUUUUGCUAAAUCUUGUGCAUGUGCUUUUCUUGCUCCUGCAC